GACUCUGGGAUAAGCGCUAGAAAUGGCGUCUAAUACCGGAUACGAGCUUCAGCCGCAUGGCUAGGAGUUGGAAAGAAUUUUGGUCAAGGAUGGACUCGCGGCCUAUCAGCUAGUUGGUGAGGUAAUGGCUCACCAAGGCGACGACGGGUAGCCGGCCUGAGAGGGUGACCGGCCACACUGGGACUGAGACACGGCCCAGACUCCUACGGGAGGCAGCAGUGGGGAAUAUUGCACAAUGGGCGAAAGCCUGAUGCAGCAACGCCGCGUGAGGGAUGACGGCCUUCGGGUUGUAAACCUCUUUUAGUAGGGAAGAAGCGAAAGUGACGGUACCUGCAGAAAAAGCACCGGCUAACUACGUGCCAGCCGCCGCGGUAAUACAA
rnacentral:rRNA from 1 species